rnacentral:misc_RNA from 1 species
AAGUCGUAACAAGGUUUCCGUAGGUGAACCUGCGGAAGGAUCAUUAUCACGUAUCCACGUAUCAACCAUUGUGAACUAGUGCCCUACCUUUGGGAUUUUUUUGGAUAGAGUUGUUAUAAUAGAACGUUUCGAAAGAAGGAAUAACGGUGAUUUGAAGGUUAUUCUAGUUUUAUUAUGACCUACAGUUUUACACUGUCUGUCUGGAUUCCAAAGUGUAUUUUUUUUCUUCAAAUCAUUCAUUAACCAUUUAAACCUAAUCUUCAUUAAUGUUUAUGAACUGAGUGUAUUUCUUACUCAAGUAACAUUGAGAAGAAAUAAAAGAUAUUACGAAACAUAAGAACAACUCUUAGCAACGGAUAUCUUGGCUCUC